AUAAUGAUACUCCUGUCUAGCCACAGUCCGAGCGUUAAGAGCGUCGCAGGCAAUGGGGACAGCUCGGAGAAACUCGGAGAGGUAAAAUUCCUGUGG
rnacentral:ncRNA from 1 species